CGGCAGGCCUAACACAUGCAAGUCGAGCGUGAAAGGGGCUUCGGCCCUGAGUAAAGCGGCGCACGGGUGAGUAACACGUGAAUAAUCUGCCCUUGGACCGGGAUAACAGACCGAAAGGACUGCUAAUACCGGAUAAGCUUCCGCGCCAACCGGGCGAGUGGAGAAAAGGAUGGGUCUUUCGGGACCAUUCACCAGAGGAUGAGUUCGCGUCCCAUCAGAUAGUUGGUGAGGUAAUGGCUCACCAAGUCGACGAUGGGUAGCUGGUCUAAGAGGAUGAUCAGCCACACUGGAACUGAGACACGGUCCAGACUCCUACGGGAGGCAGCAGUGGGGAAUCUUGCGCAAUGGAGGAAACUCUGACGCAGCCAUGCCGCGUGAGUGAUGAAAAGGCCCUCGGGUUGUAAAGCUCUGUCUAAGGGGAAAAAUGGCAUCAAGUCGAAUAGGCUUGAUGAUUGAUGGUACCCUUAAAGAAAACACCGGCUAACUCCGUGCCAGCAGCAGC
rnacentral:rRNA from 1 species